rnacentral:tRNA from 1 species
GGGCGCGUAGCUCAGUCGGUUAGAGCGCGUCACUGAUAAUGACGAGGUCGGAGGUUCGAUUCCUCCCGCGCCCA